CAUCUAUUUCCUCCGUCUAAUAUUAAGUGUUGAAAUAUUAAAUGUAUCUAAACGUUUUUUAGGUAUAAAUACAUUCAUAUUUGAACAAAUUUGAGACACUUGGUAUGAGACGGAGGGAGUAUAUA
rnacentral:pre_miRNA from 1 species